rnacentral:rRNA from 1 species
UACGUAGGGGGCAAGCGUUGUCCGGAUUUAUUGGGCGUAAAGAGCGUGUAGGCGGCCAUGUAGGUCCGUUGUGAAAACUCGAGGCUCAACCUCGAGACGCCGAUGGAAACCAUGUGGCUAGAGUCCGGAAGAGGAGAGUGGAAUUCCUGGUGUAGCGGUGAAAUGCGCAGAUAUCAGGAAGAACACCCGUGGCUAAGGCGGCUCUCUGGAACGCAACUGACGCUGAGACGCGAAAGCGUGGGGAGCAAACAGG